rnacentral:rRNA from 1 species
AGCGAACGCUGGCGGCAGGCCUAACACAUGCAAGCCGAACGAACCUUUCGGGGUUAGUGGCGGACGGGUGAGUAACACGUGGGAACGUGCCUUUAGGUUCGGAAUAACUCAGGGAAACUUGUGCUAAUACCGAAUGUGCCCUUCGGGGGAAAGAUCUAUCGCCUUUAGAGCGGCCCGCGUCUGAUUAGCUAGUUGGUUGAGGUAAUGGCUCACCAAGGCGACGAUCAGUAGCUGGUCUGAGAGGAUGAUCAGCCACAUUGGGACUGAGACACGGCCCAAACUCCUACGGGAGGCAGCAGUGGGGAAUCUUGCGCAAUGGGCGAAAGCCUGACGCAGCCAUGCCGCGUGAAUGAUGAAGGUCUUAGGAUUGUAAAAUUCUUUCACCGGGGACGAUAAUGACGGUACCCGGAGAAGAAGCCCCGGCUAACUUCGUG